AACGGCCAUACCAUGCUGAAUAUACCGGUUCUCGUUAGAUCACCGAAGUCAAGCAUCAUUGGGCGCUUUCAGUACUUGGGUGGGUGACCACCUGGGAAUACCGCGUGCCGUU